rnacentral:tRNA from 1 species
AAUCUUUUUAGUUUAACAAAAACAUAAUAUUUUCAAUAUUAAAAUAAUCAUUUUUAAAAGAUAA